rnacentral:tRNA from 1 species
NGGGUGGAGCAGCCUGGUAGCUCGUCGGGCUCAUAACCCGAAGGUCGUCGGUUCAAAUCCGGCCCCCGCAACCA